GUCCCCACCCAAAUCUCAUCACGAAUUGAAAUCCCCAUGUGUAAGGUGAGGUACCUGGUGGGAGGUGAUUGAUUGGAUCAUGAGGGUGGAUUUCCCCCAUGCUGUUCUCAUGAUAGUGAGUUCUCAUGAGAGCUGAUGGUUUUAAAGUGUGGCACUUCCCCCAUGGCUGUCUGUCUCCUGCCACAAUGUAACACAUGCCUUCUUCCCCUUCACCUUCAGCUAUAGGUGUCCCGAAGUCUCCCAACCAUGUGGAACUGUGACUCAAACCACUUUUCUUUAUAACUUACCCAGUUUCACAUAGUUCAUUACAACAGUGUGAAAAUGGACUAAUACAUAUAGCAAAUAUGAGUAAAACAUAUAUCCACAAAAAAACUUGUAUGCAAUGCUCAGAGUAUCAUUGCUUAUAGUAGCCAAUUACUAUCAACAAUCCAAUUUCUAGCAACUGAUAAAUUGAUGAAAAAAUAUAGUAUAACCAUACAAGAAAAUACCAUUCAGCCAUAAAAAGGUGUGAACAUUGUUAAUGAUAUAACAUAGAUGAACCUCGAAAACUUCAUGCUAAGUGAAAGAAGCCAGGUAUAAAAGAUCACAUAAUGCUCAAUUUCAUUUAUAUGAAAUUUAUGAAAUGUAUAGACAAAUCCCUAGAAACAAAUUAGAUUACUGUCUAUCUAGUGCUGCAGAGUUGGGGUAAAAUGAGGAAUGACUGCUAAUUAGGUCUGGUAUAGAUAUAUUUUUUAAUGUCAUAAAAUUGUUCUAAAAGUGAAUGUGAUAAUUGCACAUCUCUGUGAAUAUACUACAUACUAUUCAGUUGUACACUUUAAGGGGAAUUGUAUACUACGUGAUAACUAAGUAAAAUAUCAUGCAGUAAAAGUCUGCAAUGUCAAUGUCAUGCAAAUAAAAAAUCUGCAGAAAUGUGCAGAUUGAGGUAUUUGCAAUUGUUGAUCUUUAUCCUGAAGGCACUUUCCCUAUGUAAUACCAUUGCUAACUUUCUUUUAGCUGUUAUAUUUCCACUUAAAGUUCCCUUCAGCAAGUAGGCUUCUUUGAUCAUCUUAUUGGAAAAAAAAAAAAAAA
rnacentral:lncRNA from 1 species